UCAGAUUGGGGUCAUGCAAAGCUGGAGAACAUACUCCUGACCAUCCCUUMCAUCUUCUGAAGCCUUUGGCUCCAUCAGGGAAUUGAAGGCCCACCACUAUGAGCCUCCCRCUUACUCAAAAACUGCUGCAAAGGCUCUUUCCCACCACCUCUGCACAAGGAGAAUGUGUCAUUUUGGAAGAGCACUCUGUUAACCUGGGRCUAGUUCAUCUUGGUAAAUAACCCCAGCUGGUGACUGUAGCGUGACUCUUUCGCAGUAAGUGGCCAAGCGAAGCAUCCUGCAYGGAUCCAUGCAGUCCACUCGGUGGAAGUGGAGGUCACUCCAUUUGGUAGAGGCCUGUCUGGCGCAGAGGAAGAGACCACACAGAGGAGUCAAUGAAGAACAUUUCUGUCGGUAAAAAAAAAACCAUCAGCAACUACCUCAUGUAGAGAAGAGCUGACAUUCAGAGGAGCACCAUGCUGAAGAAUGCUGGAGACCAGCAUGCACAACACACAUACUGUGUUCAAAAAGCAUUAACCAAGGCUGACUAACCCAUUUUUAAUGCAACUCUCAUUUGUUCAUGCAAAAUUCAAAUUUAUGUUGAGCAUCCUGUUACUUAGAGCSUGGGUGCAGAGCUCUCUAAUAGGAUGUGUGAUGCUAGUAUAGGCAGGGCUUGCCUGGCUCAGCACUGCAAUCACAUCAGCCUCCUAUUUGCUUCUCACCACUGCCGUCCCUCAUUAGCUGGAAGCUUUCACCUUCAUCAUCACAGCUUCUCAKCUACAGGUCAAAUGCCUCAUUAUGAUCCUGAAAUUAAUUUUGCAAUGUUCCUAAACUUUGCCAUCCCUAUCACCUUCCCCCUCAACCGAGUGUCCAUUUGAUUUCCAUUUCACAGAAUGACAGAAUCACAGAUGGUUGAGGUUGGACGGGACCUYUAGAGAUCAUAUAGUCCAACCCCCUCUACCUGCGAUCACCAUUAUUUGUUCAGGGAACGCUAAAUCGUCACUAGGAGUCCUUAGUGCUGGCACUAUGACCACGUCUGGAAGCUCUUGCAGCUUUCCACAAGCGAUGGAGAUGGGUACCAGCAGGCUGACAGGAAGAGCACAAGGAAGAAAGUUUUCCCUGGCUCAAGCUCUUUGCCUCACCUUGCCAGCCUGUACACUGUAAGACAGGCUGUCSUUCCUACCCAUCUUUACAAUUCAUAGAUGCUCAUGCCACGGACUCAUCACAAAAUAUGGGUUGCCACCAUGAUGGGAAUGAUGGGUUGGAGUUGAUAAGGGAUGAAACUGGGUGACCUGCUGUGCUUUGGGGAGGCAGAGUCUGCAGGUUUGGCAGGACUCGCUCAAGUUUCAGCCUUGGCAUCCAGGUCUGUAUUUUAGGAAGCAGCCUGAGCUGGCUCCAUGGCAGAGAUCAAGCRGCAAUUAGAAAUAAAAUAGUAACAUAUGCCAACUAGGGAGGGAAAGAAAAAAGACCGCAAUUGUUCUCAAGCAGAAAUUGUGAAGUGCAGAAGACUGAUAGGGAAAAGAGAAUACACCAGGGACUAGAAAAGCUAGAAACAGUAAAGGAUUUUAAGAAUCUGGAAUGARGGAAAUUUGAGCAAUGAGACAGACUUAACAGAGAAGACAUAGAGCUUUGUAUAAGCUUUCAUGGAACGAGCGAUAUAUAUUGAACUGCAGAGCUGCAUCCUAUGGCCUUGUCCCCAGUCCCUCUAAAAUGCAAGGGGUCAGUGCAAGGAAGGCAACACCGAAAACUUUUGCCU